rnacentral:rRNA from 1 species
GAUGAACGCUGGCGGCGUGCCUAAUACAUGCAAGUUGAGCGAACAGAUGAGGAGCUUGCUCCUCUGACGUUAGCGGCGGACGGGUGAGUAACACGUGGAUAACCUACCUAUAAGACUGGGAUAACUUCGGGAAACCGGAGCUAAUACCGGAUAAUAUAUUGAACCGCAUGGUUCAAUAGUGAAAGACGGUUUUGCUGUCACUUAUAGAUGGAUCCGCGCCGCAUUAGCUAGUUGGUAAGGUAACGGCUUACCAAGGCAACGAUGCGUAGCCGACCUGAGAGGGUGAUCGGCCACACUGGAACUGAGACACGGUCCAGACUCCUACGGGAGGCAGCAGUAGGGAAUCUUCCGCAAUGGGCGAAAGCCUGACGGAGCAACGCCGCGUGAGUGAUGAAGGUCUUCGGAUCGUAAAACUCUGUUAUUAGGGAAGAACAAAUGUGUAAGUAACUAUGCACGUCUUGACGGUACCCAAUCAGAAAGCCACGGCUAACUACGUG